rnacentral:lncRNA from 1 species
UUCAGGUUACCCACCUGAGCAUCCUUCUGGGAGGAGGCAGGGUGCGAACCCCAAGGAAUCGCUGAAGUCUUUUCUGAGAUUUCCUGGAUGGGGAAGAUGUGCCUCACCAAGUUAUUUGAGACUUAAAUGAAAUUUGGAAAUGUUUCCUGACAUCAAAGGCUGUUCCUUUUGCCUAAUCAAUUAAGUGUGUUGUGCCUGUCCUCCCCUGAUCUCUCUACGAC